UGGCGGCAUGCCUAACACAUGCAAGUCGAACGAAGCCUUCGGGCUUAGUGGCGCACGGGUGCGUAACACGUGGGAAUCUGCCCUUAGGUACGGAAUAACUCAGGGAAACUUGAGCUAAUACCGUAUGAUGUCUUCGGACCAAAGAUUUAUCGCCUAAGGAUGAGCCCGCGUCGGAUUAGCUAGUUGGUGGGGUAAAGGCCUACCAAGGCGACGAUCCGUAGCUGGUCUGAGAGGAUGAUCAGCCACACUGGGACUGAGACACGGCCCAGACUCCUACGGGAGGCAGCAGUGGGGAAUAUUGGACAAUGGGCGAAAGCCUGAUCCAGCAAUGCCGCGUGAGUGAAGAAGGCCUUCGGGUUGUAAAGCUCUUUUACCCGGGAAGAUAAUGACUGUACCGGGAGAAUAAGCCCCGGCUAACUCCGUGCCAGCAGCCGCGGUAAUACGGAGGGGGCUAGCGUUGUUCGGAAUUACUGGGCGUAAAGCGCACGUAGGCGGCUUUACAAGUCAGGGGUGAAAGCCCGCGGCUCAACCGCGGAAUUGCCCUUGAGACUGUAUCGCUUGAACACGGGAGAGGUGAGUGGAAUUCCGAGUGUAGAGGUGAAAUUCGUAGAUAUUCGGAAGAACACCAGUGGCGAAGGCGGCUCACUGGACCGUAGUUGACGCUGAGGUGC
rnacentral:rRNA from 1 species